rnacentral:lncRNA from 1 species
GACUUUCACCGGGCCUUUUCUUCGGACCGGUGCUGCCUCUGUGUCUUACAGUCACCUAAAAUGAACCUUCUAUGUUCAGUGACCCUCAGUACAGUGUAUGCAAAUCCCAGCCCUGGGUGUACUCAGCAUGCCUUUGGAUCUUUGAUGGUCGCAUUUUGAACAGUCUAUUCAGUGGAGGAGAAGGCAUUGCAUAAGUUCAAGCUUUUACAGGCCCUUUCCACCAGAAUAAUUUGAAGACAACAAAACAAGACUAUUUUUUGAACGUCUCAUCAUGUUCGCUGUAGAAACUGUUGCUUUCAUAUACCUUUCCUUUCCCGCCUUUUACCUAAGUGAUCGGUGCUGUCUUCCUUACCAUGACAGUUAUCCCAGACUCUACCUGUUUAUUUCUGUCCUCUUUUCCCCAUCUUGAGUACCUCCUGGGCAGUACCUCUUGGAGCUAACUCCAUUUCUGUGUUAUUGUGAGGCCCUGUGGAUAAUUCUGGGGCACUGCUUUAGCUUAGACACCACUCCUUUACCUGCACAGGACUGUGCAGAGUUUCUGUCUUGAGCUUUGGUUGUAUUAAAGCUCCUGCUCCUGAGCAGGUUCUUGAGUUGCCCCGAGUUUCAAAGGCAUUUCAUUUUCUCAAAACCCCUGCUUAAUUUCUCUGGCGAAGGUGUGAGCUUCUUCAGUUGUAAGUCAUAGGGUUUCAGUAUGGUGUGAGGGCACCAUGUCCUUGGUGCCCUCCACCUUCCUCACAGGGGAGUCCAUGCUAGAGGUUGACUGGAGUCCUUGUUUUUUCCCCAUACAUGUAGAGAGCUUGGAUCCAUGUUGUUGUUUCCUUGGCUGCACUUCUCUGUGCUACCCAAAGGGAUGGAUAUGUUGCUCCCAGGCCUUUUGGUGUCUAGGAGCAACUGGAUGAACUUCCAGAGUCCCUCAGAACAUGGUCUUGUCCCAUCAGGCACGGGAUAUGCAUUUCUCAUACCCUGGAAAUUCACACCCUGCCCUUGGUCUGCAGGUAGUCUGCAUGGGACCUCAGCAUCCUGCAGUUUGUUCCUGCUCUUCUUAUGAAUGAUAUCGCCAAAAUGAAGUUUUUCUUUACAUGUGGUGACUGCUUUCUGAAUUGAGAUGCCUGUUGCAGAGAACCCUAG